UAUUUCUUUCGCUUUUCUUUUUAAUUUGCAUUGAACUUUCAAGAACUGAUUUAAUUUUGUUUAGUUUUUCAUUCUAGUUUUAGAGAAAAGGCUGUGAUGAUAGACAACAUUUCUCGAUUCUGAUCAGGACCAAAGAAAAUUUGUUGCUCCUUGAUGACAGUAUUUGU